rnacentral:rRNA from 1 species
GACGAACCGUGCAAACGUUGUUCGGAAUCACUGGGCUUAAAGGGCGCGUAGGCGGCAGACCAAGUCCGGGGUGAAAUCUUUCGGCUUAACCGGAAAAGGGCCUUGGAUACUGGUUUGCUAGAGGGAGGUAGGGGUCUGUGGAACUUCUGGUGGAGCGGUGAAAUGCGUAGAUAUCGAGAGGAACACCUGCGGCGAAGGCGGGUUGCUGGGCUGAUACUGACGCUGAGGCGCGAAAGCCAGGGGAGCGAACGGG